rnacentral:rRNA from 1 species
CCUACGGGAGGCAGCAGUUGGAAUAUUGCGCAAUGGGCGAAAGCCUGACGCAGCAACGCCGCGUGCGGGAUGACGGCCUUCGGGUUGUAAACCGCUUUCAGCAGGGAAGAAGCCGCAAGGUGACGGUACCUGCAGAAGAAGCACCGGCUAACUACGUGCCAGCAGCCGCGGUAAUACGUAGGGUGCAAGCGUUGUCCGGAUUUAUUGGGCGUAAAGAGCUCGUAGGCGGUCUGUUACGUCGGUUGUGAAAACUCGGGGCUUAACCCCGAGCCUGCAUCCGAUACGGGCAGACUUGAGUGUGGUAGGGGAGACUGGAAUUCCUGGUGUAGCGGUGAAAUGCGCAGAUAUCAGGAGGAACACCGAUGGCGAAGGCAGGUCUCUGGGCCACAACUGACGCUGAGGAGCGAAAGCGUGGGGAGCAAACAGGAUUAGAUACCCUGGUAGUCCACGCCGUAAACGGUGGGCGCUAGGUGUGGGGAACAUUCCACGUUCUCCGUGCCGCAGCUAACGCAUUAAGCGCCCCGCCUGGGGAGUACGGCCGCAAGGCUAAAACUCAAAGGAAUUGACGG